rnacentral:lncRNA from 1 species
UUUAUUUUCCCAAAGAUCCUACAACUCUUGAUAGCAGAUCUGUGUCUCAUACUUCUCUUCCUCAGCAAAUGCCUUAAUUAAUUAGCAGUACCUAUUAAGCCCUACAAUGAUUGUUUUUCAGAAGUUUUAAACACUUUUUCCCCUUGAGGAGUGGAAUGAAACAGGGUAGGCAGUGUCCUAUAAUGGAAAAGAUGACUUGAGACAUCGCAGACCUGGGUUUUAACUCUGGUUCUGCUCUUCACCUCUUGCAUGGCAAGUUGUAUAGUUACCGGAUUGUCUGUUUUCUCAUUUGUAAAAUGGCAUGAUAGUGUUACCUUGCAAAAUUAUUAUGAUAAUGGUAUUAUCUUGCAGAAUAAAAUAUCUGGCUCAGGACCUGAAAUGUGUCCUUAGGAAAUGUUAGCUCUUUCAUAAUUACUAUGUGUCAUAAUUGGUUGCCAUAGAAUUUUUUAUGACAUCACUUUUGUAGGGACAAUGUCAGGAUAGGUUCUGUUAAAGUGAAUUAUUUCUCUGUACUUAUGUUUUAUGUCAUGGUUAGUGAGGAGUAUUGGUGAGACUGGCAGAAGGUAGGCAGCCAAGCUGGUGAGUGGAAGGCAUCCAGUAGAGGCUGCAUGGAGUCUUAUUAGGAAUCAUAUCUACUGUGUGAGGAAAGCUGCCUGUGGCACUGAUCUAAAUGAUAAAUGGAGAGAAGUCAAAAGAGACAAGGAAAGGAAUAUGCAGAAGCAAGAGGAUGUUUGGGAAAAGACUGUAAGUCAUUCUUCCACUUGGUUUUGGAAGGGUAACUUACAUGGCUGCCACCAGAAGCUGAUUGUAAAAGCUACAGACAUCACAGCUUUUGUGCCUACUAUUUUUUGCCCCUAUAUCAUAUUGUCCUAUUCCUUACAUCCUAUCGCUCACAGGAAUUUGUUGAACACUAGUUCUUAGCUGGAGAGCUAGAAGUACAAGAUGUGAAUGUGGAGCUCCCUGGCCUGGCCCUAAUGAAGCUUGCUAUCUAAAGAAAAUAUAGUUGACCUUUGAAUAAUAUGGGAUUGAGUGGUAUGGGGCCAUUUACAUGUGGAUUUUUUUUGCAAUAAAAACAAUACCAUAAAUGAUUUUUUCUUCUUU